GACGAACGCUGGCGGCGUGCUUAACACAUGCAAGUCGAACGGAAAGACCCUGCUUUUGUGGGGUGCUCGAGUGGCGAACGGGUGAGUAACACGUGAGUAACCUGCCCUUGACUUUGGGAUAACUUCAGGAAACUGGGGCUAAUACCGGAUAUGAGCUCCUGCUGCAUGUUGUGGUUUGGAAAGUUUCGGCUGUUGGGGAUGGACUCGAGGCUUCUCAGCUUGUUGGUGGGGUAGUGGCUUACCAAGGCUUUGAAGGGUAGCCGGCCUGAGAGGGUGACCGGCGACAUUGGGACUGAGAGACGGCGCAGACUAGUACGGGAGGCAGAAGGGGGGAAUAUGGCAGAAUGGGCGGAAGCCUGAGGCAGAAACGCCGCGUGCGUGAUGACGGCCUUCGGGUUGUAAACCGCUGUCGACUGUGACGAAGCGGGAGUGACGGUAAUGGGUAAAGAAGCACCGGCUAACUACGUG
rnacentral:rRNA from 1 species